rnacentral:rRNA from 1 species
UUUUUUUUCGGUUCUUAUUUGUGUGGAAUUUUGCACAAUGGGCGAAAGCCUGAUGCAGCAACGCCGCGUGAAGGAAGAAGGGUUUCGGCUCGUAAACUUCUAUCAACAGGGACGAAAGAAAUGACGGUACCUGAAUAAGAAGCCCCGGCUAACUACGUGCCAGCAGCCGCGGUAAUACGUAGGGGGCAAGCGUUAUCCGGAAUUACUGGGUGUAAAGGGUGAGUAGGCGGCAUGG